rnacentral:lncRNA from 13 species
CUUUAAUCAGAGGAUCACAUUUAAAUUCAUAUUUCAAUCACAAGUAAAACACUAUUUAAAACACUGUUGUUACAUAUUGUCCACCAGACGGCCCAAAGAACACCUCAGUGUCAGUCAGUCCCUCUGGUGAAAUAGUGGAGGGCAGUUCAGUGACUCUGACCUGCAGCAGUGAUGCCAACCCACCUGUGGACAAAUACACCUGGUACUUUCAAAAUGAGACUUUUCUAAAUGGAUGUGGACAGAUGUACAACAUCAGUAACUUCAAGUCUAAGGACAGUGGACAUUACCACUGUGAGGCCUGGAAUAGAAGAGGAUCUAGGAACUCUACAGCUCUGAUGAUCAUUUUACCAGGGAAACAAACAGUUGUGACUGCAGCUGUAGGAAUCAUAGUGGUGGUUCUGGUUCUCAUCCUCUGUUUCUCUGGAUUCAUGUGGUUCAGGAAGAAGGCCUCCAUAUCCACCUCUGACACAAGAGACACAUCAGAGAAAGUACAGGGAGACUCUAGUCCAGUGUAUGAAAACGUCUCAAACAUGGCCGUGACCCCUACUGCAGCACAGACAGAGUCCACAGUCGACCAGGAUGAUGUUCACUAUGCCAGCGUCCACUUCUCUCGCUCCAAAAACCAGGAAGUGCCUCUGUACUCCACCGUCCAGCUGCCUCAACCCCAGAAACAGGAAGAGGAUGUCCAGUACGAUGCUGUGAAAUUCAACCUCCCCAGUGCUGCCACCCGACCCACAGCAGCACAAGCAGCUGAGGAGGACUCAUCUGUUCUCUACAGUACAGUCAACAAACCUGAACCAAGAAGACCUGAACACAACAAACCCAGAACCAAGAAAACCUGAACACAAGUUUGACAGAAACCCUGUAUAGCUGGACCUGUAUAGUCCAACUAAGUGUUAUAACAAUGUAUCAUAAGAUUUGCCAUUUAGAAAAUGCUUUUAUCCAAAGAGACUUAUAAUUAUGUGUGAAUACAUUCUACAUGCCGGUGGCCCCACUGGGAAUGGAAACCAUGCACCAUGCUCUACCACCUGAGACACAGGACUACUGUAUUCACACUUAGUUGGAGUGCUGAUCUAUGGUCAGUUUUGUCUUAUAAACAAUGCUGUACUUGUCCUCUUGCUCAGUUGUGCACCGGGGCCUCCCACUCCUCUUUCUAUUCUGGUUAGAGCCAGUUUGCGCUGUUCUGUGAAGGGAGUAGUACGUUGUACGAGAUCUUCAGUUUCUUGGCAAUUUCUCGCAUGGAAUAGCCUUAAUUUCUCAGAACAAGAAUAGAAUGAUGAGUUUCAGAAGAAAGUUAUUUGUUUCUUGCCAUUUUGAGCCUGUAAUCGAACCCACAAAUGCUGAUACUCCAGAUACUCAACGAGUCUAAGGCCAGUUUUAUUGCUUCUUUAAUCAGUUUUCAGCUGUGCUAAUAUAAUUGCAAAAGGGUUUUCUAAUGCUCAAUUAGCCUUUUAAAAUUAUAAACUUGGAUUAGCUAACACAAUGUGCCAUUGGAACACAGAAGUGAUGGUUGCUGAUAAUGGGCCACUGUACGCCUAUGUAGAUAUUCCAUAAAAAAUCUGCCGUUUCCAGCUACAAUAGUCAUUUACAACAUUAACCAUGUCUACACUGUAUUUCUGAUCAAUUUGAUGUUAUUUUAAUGGACAAAAAAUGUGUUUUUCUUUAAAAAACAAAGACAUUUCUAAGUGACCCCAAACUUUUGACCAGUAGUGUGUGUGUGUAUAUAUAUAUAAAUUAUUCUUAUUUACAUUUUUCAUAAAAAAAUAUAUACACUUAUAAUCAAAUUUAUGAGAUUAUAUAUGAACAUUCAAUAUUUUUUUUCUAAUUUGUUUCUAUUCCAUUAUAUUAUACAGUACUGUGCUGUUCUGUUACAUUAUACAGUCCUGUACUAUUCUAUUACAUUAUACAGUACUGUACUAUUCUGUUACAUUAUACAGUCCUGUACUAUUCUAUUACAUUA